UGCGGGGUCGUCUAACGGUAGGACGGGUCUCUUUGGAAGACCUAAUGAACGUUCGAUUCGUUCCCCCGCAGCCA
rnacentral:tRNA from 1 species